UACGUAGGGUGCAAGCGUUGUCCGGAAUUAUUGGGCGUAAAGAGCUCGUAGGCGGUCUGUCGCGUCGGUCGUGAAAACUUGGGGCUUAACCCUGAGCCUGCGGUCGAUACGGGCAGGCUAGAGUUCGGUAGGGGAGACUGGAAUUCCUGGUGUAGCGGUGAAAUGCGCAGAUAUCAGGAGGAACACCGGUGGCGAAGGCGGGUCUCUGGGCCGAUACUGACGCUGAGGAGCGAAAGCGUGGGGAGCAAACAGG
rnacentral:rRNA from 1 species